rnacentral:rRNA from 1 species
GACGAACGCUGGCGGCGUGCUUAACACAUGCAAGUCGAACGGAAAGGCCCUGCUUUUGUGGGGUGCUCGAGUGGCGAACGGGUGAGUAACACGUGAGUAACCUGCCCUUGACUUUGGGAUAACUUCAGGAAACUGGGGCUAAUACCGGAUAGGAGCUCCUGCUGCAUGGUGGGGGUUGGAAAUUUUCGGCGGUUGGGGAUGGACUCGCGGCUUAUCAGCUUGUUGGUGGGGUAGUGGCUUACCAAGGCUUUGACGGGUAGCCGGCCUGAGAGGGUGACCGGCCACAAUGGGACUGAGAUACGGCCCAGACUGCUACGGGGGGCAGCAGUGGGGAAUAUUGCACAAUGGGCGGGAGCCUGAUGCAGCAACGCCGCGUGCGGGAUGACGGCCUUCGGGUUGUAAACCGCUUUCGCCUGUGACGAAGCGUGAGUGACGGUAAUGGGUAAAGAAGCACCGGCUAACUACGUG